rnacentral:rRNA from 1 species
UGGGGAAUUUUGGACAAUGGGCGCAAGCCUGAUCCAGCCACGCCGCGUGCGGGAAGAAGGCCUUCGGGUUGUAAACCGCUUUUGUCAGGGAAGAAAUCUUCUGAGUUAAUACCUCGGGAGGAUGACGGUACCUGAAGAAUAAGCACCGGCUAACUACGUGCCAGCAGCCGCGGUAAUACGUAGGGUGCAAGCGUUAAUCGGAAUUACUGGGCGUAAAGCGUGCGCAGGCGGUUUUGUAAGACAGAGGUGAAAUCCCCGGGCUCAACCUGGGAACUGCCUUUGUGACUGCAAGGCUUGAGUGCGGCAGAGGGGGAUGGAAUUCCGCGUGUAGCAGUGAAAUGCGUAGAUAUGCGGAGGAACACCGAUGGCGAAGGCAAUCCCCUGGGCCUGCACUGACGCUCAUGCACGAAAGCGUGGGGAGCAAACAGGAUUAGAUACCCUGGUAGUCCACGCCCUAAACGAUGUCAACUGGUUGUUGGGAAGGUUCCUUCUCAGUAACGUAGCUAACGCGUGAAGUUGACCGCCUGGGGAGUACGGCCGCAAGGUUGAAACUCAAAUGAAUUGACGGGGUCAUAGCUGUUUCCUG